AGGAAGCUGCAGAGGGUAGGAGCAGGCUAUUUCCUAUCCCCAGAAAGGACCUUCGUGACGUCACGGUCAUGUGGUAAUACCAUGUGACUCUCCAUUGGGCAUGCCCCAUUAUUGUGUGGGACAUUCAAACAUGCAGACCUGUUAAUGGCUUCUACUGGCAGCGAUCAUUUCACAACUGCAACUGCAACUUUUAAUGGCUGAAAACUUGUAAUCUGCUGUUGGAAUCCUCACAUCCCGACUCCUUUUGUCUCUAUCGUUUGGUGCAUUUUCCUAUUGUUUUGGAAUGGAAGUUCUAGUCGUUAAAGAAAAGCUUUGGUUUUAUUUAUUGUGUCCUAGAUUUGUUGUCUGAUCCUGCUUGUUUUAUGUCUUAAUAAAAUUUAAAAUAAAAUUA